rfam:Gossypium raimondii Chr04_contig_842, whole genome shotgun sequence.
UGUUAAAAAUUUCAUCUAUUUGUAUUAUUAAAAAUUUGUGUGGUUGAUGGAAUAACUAGACAGUGACACGUGGUCUGCCACAUAUACCUCCAGCGGACAUACAAUAACCAAUUUUUAAUAUUAGAAAUGAAUGGAAUUUUUAAUA